UACAGAGGGGGCAAGCGUUGUUCGGAAUUACUGGGCGGAAAGGGCGCGUAGGCGGCCGCCUAAGUCAGACGUGAAAUCCCUCGGCUCAACCGGGGAACUGCGUCUGAUACUGGGUGGCUUGAAUCCGGGAGAGGGAUGCGGAAUUCCAGGUGUAGCGGUGAAAUGCGUAGAUAUCUGGAGGAACACCGGUGGCGAAGGCGGCAUCCUGGACCGGUAUUGACGCUGAGGCGCGAAAGCCAGGGGAGCAAACGGG
rnacentral:rRNA from 1 species